rnacentral:rRNA from 1 species
GAGGAAUAUUGGGCAAUGCCCGCAAGGGUGACCCAGCAACGCCGCGUGGAGGAUGAAUGUCGUAAGAUUGUAAACUCCUGUUAGAGGGGAAGAAUAGUACCGGUUGGACCGGUAUAUGACUGUACCCUCAGAGAAAGCCCCGUCUAACUACGUGCCAGCAGCCGCGGUAAUACGUAGGGGGCAAGCGUUGUCCGGAUUUACUGGGUGUAAAGGGCGCGCAGGCGGGAUAAAAAGUCAGUGGUGAAAUCCUACAGCUUAACUGUAGAACUGCCUUUGAUACUUUUAGUCUUGAGUUCGGUAGAGAGAGACGGAAUUCCAGGUGUAGUGGUGAAAUACGUAGAUAUCUGGAAGAACACCAGUUGCGAAGGCGGUCUCUUGGUCCGACACUGACGCUGAGGCGCGAAAGCGUGG